rnacentral:rRNA from 1 species
GCAUAAUCAAUAGUCUCUUAAUUGGUGACUUGUAUGAAAGAUUGGAUGAAAUAUAGACUGUCUCUAAUUAAUUUAUAGAAAUUAAUUUUUUAGUAAAAAAGCUAAAAUAAUUUUAAAAGACGAGAAGACCCUAUAGAGUUUAAUAAUUUAUUUAAUUAUUAUUAAUAUAUAAUUUUUAAAAUUAAAAUUAAAUAAAUUAUUUUGUUGGGGUGAUAGAAAAAUUAAAUUAACUUUUUUUAUUUAUUUACAUUAAUUUAUGAUUAAAUGAUCCAUUUAUAAUGAUUAAAAGAAAAAAUUACCUUAGGGAUAACAGCGUAAUUUUUUUUUUUAGUUCAAAUAGGAAAAAAAGUUUGC